rnacentral:tRNA from 1 species
GUCCAUGUAGCUUAAAACAAAGCAAAGCACUGAAAAUGCUUAGAUGAGUUAGCUUAGAACUCCACAGACA